rnacentral:tRNA from 1 species
GGGCACAUGGUGUAGUUGGUUAUCACAUCCGCUUAGCAUUUAAUGCAUGCGGGGGGUGCUGGGUUCAAUUCCCAGUGUGUCCA